rnacentral:misc_RNA from 1 species
CUCAGAGCUGGGCUGCCACUAAUAGUGACACUUUUGAUGUGAUUUAUCAUGAGAGAAUAUGUUGGAGUCUCACUCUGCAUUGCAACAAGAAUGGUCUCACAUUUAUUCUCUUUCUUUUUCUCUUUAAUCAAGACCUUUGUUGCGAUUUGAUUGGCUUUUAACAAACGAUUUGUUUUUCCCUUAUGCUUUCUCUCUCUAGAUUCCCGUGCCAAUUUUACCCAUUUUUUCACUCAAAUCAAUACCCUUUACCCUCUCAAAUUUCUGCAUCUUGGUUAGGGUGAGAAAGAAAAGAAGAAAAGGAGAAAAAGGGUUACUGUGGGUCUGGUUUGGAUGUGUGCAGUGUUUUGGGUGAUCUAGAGUUAGGUGUUGAGAUGAAUGGGAUUCAGGGCAAUAAGGCUCAAAAUAUAGAAAAACCCUUUCCAGGAUGCUUGGGCAGAAUGGUGAACUUUUUGGAUUUAGGCAAUGAUGCAACUGGAAAUUGGCUGCUUACAGAUAAACCACAUGGUGAUGAUGAUCUCUUUGUAUUUGUUGCCUAUUUCUUUUUCAGGAAAAGAAAACCACUGUUUGAGCUUUUGGUAGGCAUGCGAAUUGCUUGUUGCUUAGCUUUUGUAGUUCCAUUUCAAAAUGUUUGUUACUGUCUGCUGUGAAAGAGCUUUAGUUAACUGUUACUUUAUGAUUGUAGAGACUCUGGCUAAUGAAAUUCAUCGUUUGGCAUCUGUUUAAGUUCACUUGUGUGGUUGGUCAUUCUUUUCCAAUCACCAGGACUAUACUAUGUCCAUUAGGGUUUGUUUAACUCAUGGUGAAUCUUCAGAUUGGCUCACAUAUGCAUUUCAUAUUUGCUAACAAUUAUUUAAGCAUCUUGAGUUAUAUAAAUCUCUUCUUGUUUAUGUUUAGAGCUUGAAAUUUUUUCUGGUUGAUGUUCACUGCCCUCUUGGGCAGGUUCUCUUGGCCUGUAAAAUUAGAUCUUGUCCACAAAUAAUUACUCUUUCUGGGUAAAAUUAUGUUCCAAAUGAUCUGAUUUCUCUUGUAUGGAUUCCCUUAUAAAUUUAUCAGAGAAAAUAAAGGGAAGAUUCAGCUUUCUUCCUGGUUAGGAAUAAUGAUGAUGAUUUGCAUCACAAUAUUCUUAGUUGUGUGUUUAUUUUUAAACAUUAUGUUGGCAGCUGUUGGUCAUUUGCAGGUUCUUCACUCUCAAGGAGUCACUCAGAUGUGGCAAGGAUGCUGAGAUCACCCUUUGCGAAUCAGAUUGAAGAUAAAAUGGUAAAAUAAUGGAGAUUAUUUAUUGAUUGUGUCCGAGUUAAGGAGAAGCUCCUCAAACAAGAAAGCGAGUGGAACACCCAUAAAGACACUCAUAGCCCAAGAAAUGUCCAAAGAAGUGGAUUCUAGACAUAAUCCACCAAAUGUUGUUGCCAAGUUGAUGGGACUUGAUACCCUCCCACUGCAACUGUCUAAUUCAGCUGCAGAAAGAAGCCACUCAAAAGGUUAUUCAAGACGUUCUUUAAGUCACUCAGGGAUACUAGAGGAUUGUUGGGAGCAAGAUAAUGGUUUUUUGGACAAGCGAAUGCAUUGUGAAGAACAAAAUGAGUACAAAGAUGUAUAUGAGAUAUGGCAGCAAUCUCAAAAGACAAAUGUAAGAGAUAGUUCACCACACAAAGGAAGGCAUACUGAAAAUACAAAUGAGAAGAAGAUGACCCUUGUUCGGGAGAAGUUCAUGGAAGCAAAGCGUUUGGCCACAGAUGAGAAAGGCCGCCAGUCCAAGGAAUUCCAAGAUGCAUUAGAAAUUUUAAGUUCCAAUAGAGAUCUAUUCCUCAAGUUUCUGCAAGAACCUAAUUCCAUGUUCUCUCCGCAUCUGUAUGAUAUGUGCUCUAUUCCUCCGCCUCCUGAGACAAAACGCAUUACUGUACUUAGACCUUCUAAGGCGAUUGAUAAUGAAAAGUUUGCAGGAUCAGGAACGAAGUGUGAUAAGCAGGCAAAUAAACCAGCCCAUACUGGCCAAGCUAUCGUGUGGGACAAAAAUAACUCUGGAUGUUCUCCUACUUUUGCCAAUCAGAGGUUUGAAGAAUAUCCUGCUCAACCAACACGAAUUGUAGUAUUGAAGCCUAGCCCUGGGAAGACUCAUGACGUUAAGGCUGUGAUUUCACCACCUACCUCAUCACCGAGAAUAUUACAGGGUGAAGAGUUUUAUGAUGAAGCUGAAGAUGAUGAAGCACAAGAAUCAAGAGAGGUUGCCAAGGAGAUCACAUUGCAGAUGCGUGGAAAUCUGAUGGGUCAUCGAAGGGAUGAAACUCUCCUUUCUUCUGUUUUUUCCAAUGGCUAUGUUGGUGAUGAUAGUUCCUUUAACAAAUCAGAAAAUGAGUAUGCUGUGGGGAAUCUCAGUGAUUCAGAAAUCAUGUCACCGACCUCUAGGCACUCGUGGGAUUAUAUCAACAGGUUUGGCAGUCCCUAUUCUUGUUCCUCCUUCAGCCGUGCAUCAUGUUCUCCAGAGUCUUCUGUUUGCAGAGAAGCGAAAAAGCGACUUUCUGAAAGAUGGGCCAUGAUGACAUCAAAUGGGAGUUCUCUGGAACAAAAAAACACUCGGAGAAGCUCUAGCACAUUGGGUGAGAUGCUUGCUCUUUCUGAUGCAAGGAAAUCAGUGAGAUCUGAGGCAGUGGCUUCUAUAAAGGAACAAGAACCAAGGGGAUCAACUUCUUGCUUAACUAGUAAUUUGAACAAGGAAGAAGGCAUGGUUGAUUCUCCUAAAAGCCUCCUGAGGUCCAGAUCUGUGCCUGCGUCUUCCACAGUGUAUGGUGCUGGGCUCAAUGUUGAGGUUUCAGAUUCGCAGGCUGGCAGAACAGAAGUUUCCAAGGAGCUGACAAAGGCAAAAAGCACGAAGUUAUCUUUAAAGGGGAAAGUUUCUAGCUUAUUUUUCUCAAGAAAUAAGAAAUCAAAUAAAGAAAUUACUGGUGUAUCUCAAUCUAAAGACGAACAUCAAUCUCCUACUCCUGAAACACCAGGGUCGCCAAUGCCUCUUCAUGGAAAGACCGGUGAUGAUUCAUCUCAAUGUACCAAUAACAGUGGCCUUGAAGAUUGUUUAUCUCCUGGUUUACAUGGACCUUCAAAUAAAACUACUUAUCCAGAUUUGAUUGCUGCAGCAACAAAACAAGGUUUUGUUUCCCGGGAGGUACUUAUUACUCAUUCUUCUUAUUAUUCUUACUCUUCCCUUGCUUUUACUAGCUGUUAUUAUUGUUGAUUUGUUAGUCUGGAUAUGGCAAUGCUGAUGGUUUCUUGCUUGUGUUCGAAGUUUUAGACUAGGCAGUUUUCUCUGCUUCAUUUCAAGGCAUACAAAUAUGGUAAUGAACACUUGAGGGACAUGACCAUUGCAAACUGCCCAUGAUCCUUGCCAAAUCCCUCUUCCAUUUCUGAGUUCCUUUGGUUUGUUAAAUAGUUGCAGUUGAUGAAACUGUGAUUCAUCUGGAAUGGGUAGAACUUGUAAGCUGAAAAUGGCCUUGUGGGCGCAAAAUCCUUGAGCUAAUUCAUUUUUAUCGUGUCCUUAUUCGACAUGGCCCCUGAUCAUGCCCCUGGGAAAUAUAUAGACUGAAAAUUGAAAUAUGAAACUGAAAUGGGCUCUGCUAAGCCAUGUAUUGUAUCAUUUUUUAUUCUCGUGUUACCUGAGUAGUGUUGGGACUUCUUCAAUGUCCUAUAUUGAGCUAGAUGCUUCUAAUAUGACAUUAAUAGCUUCAGUGGUUGAAUACUGCUACUUUUUUAUCAUUGUAACAGACUGUUGAACAUCGAAUAACUCGUGUCAAAAUCAACUAUUUGCAGGCACCCCUGUCAGUGGCAAAGCCCGUAGUGUCUAGGAAUAUGAGUGAGAACCAGGAUCAA